GACGUAGGGGGCUAGCGUUGUUCGGAAUUACUGGGCGUAAAGCGCGCGUAGGCGGAUCAGUCAGUUAGUGGUGAAAGCCCAGGGCUCAACCCUGGAACUGCCUUUAAUACUGCUGGUCUGGAGGUCGAGAGAGGUGAGUGGAAUUCCGAGUGUAGAGGUGAAAUUCGUAGAUAUUCGGAGGAACACCAGUGGCGAAGGCGGCUCACUGGCUCGAUACUGACGCUGAGGUGCGAAAGCGUGGGGAGCAAACAGG
rnacentral:rRNA from 1 species